AGCGAACGCUGGCGGCAGGCUUAACACAUGCAAGUCGAACGGGCUUCUUCGGAAGUCAGUGCCAGACGGGUGAGUAACACGUGGGAACGUGCCCUUCGGUUCGGAAUAACUCAGGGAAACUUGAGCUAAUACCGGAUACGCCCUUAUGGGGAAAGGUUUACUGCCGAAGGAUCGGCCCGCGUCUGAUUAGCUUGUUGGUGGGGUAACGGCCUACCAAGGCGACGAUCAGUAGCUGGUCUGAGAGGAUGAUCAGCCACACUGGGACUGAGACACGGCCCAGACUCCUACGGGAGGCAGCAGUGGGGAAUAUUGGACAAUGGGCGCAAGCCUGAUCCAGCCAUGCCGCGUGAGUGAUGAAGGCCUUAGGGUUGUAAAGCUCUUUUGUCCGGGACGAUAAUGACGGUACCGGAAGAAUAAGCCCCGGCUAACUUCGUG
rnacentral:rRNA from 1 species